CAAGCCUUUUCUCCAAUAUUUUCGGUCGCCUCACCCACCACACCAGCGUUGCCAAGCGGUCGUAACCUUGCACAGAUCGGUAAACACAAAUCACCAAAUCAAUUCUAAUUAAUUUCCUCAACAUCCAAAUAUAUUCAUCAUCUAUACAACCAUAUAAUUCAUCUCGAUGGAGAAGAUUCCAGACAACUUCUCCACAACUUCACAACAAGCUACUCCGAGUUUUUCGGCUUCUUCCAGAGCUACAACAAACUCAUCCCGAUAUCGAAACUCAAAUUAUGCAGCUAGUUAUCAAACUAAUCAAUCGGAUCCGCAGCAGCAUCAACAAAGUAAUCGAUCGUAUCCGCAACAACAGCAACAGAGUAAUCGAUCGUAUCCGCAGCAACAGCAACAGAGUAAUCGAUCGUAUCAGCUGCAACAGAGUAAUCGAUCGUAUUCGCAAAGAGGAGCAUAUGCUCCUCAACAGCCUAGUUCCUCGUUUCGAAAUAAUUCUAUUAAUAGUCAUAGAGACCAGAGUUCAAAUGCCAAUUACGCAGAAGAAGAGAAAUUGAGAAGGGAGAAUCGUUCUCAACGUUUUGAAAAUCAACGUGGCAAUCAGGCUAGAAAUAAUUAUACUAGACCUAAAACUAUUGGAGCUCGAUUGUCUGCUGGAAGUAAGAGUUGUGAAGGAGGAAACAAUACAGUUGUUAAAGAUAUUGACUUGGAUUCUUUUACUGUUAAGGGAACCUGUCAGGAAGUCGAGAAAUGCUAUUUACGUCUUACCUCCGCACCUGAUCCCGCCACUGUGAGACCAGAAAAAGUGUUAGAAAAAGCUCUUCUCAUGGUUCAGAAAUCCCAGAAGAACUACCUUUACAAAUGUGAUCAGUUAAAAUCUAUCCGCCAAGAUCUUACGGUACAGCGCAUACGAAAUGAGCUUACAGUUAAGGUUUAUGAAACUCAUGCUAGAUUAGCAAUUGAAGUUGGCGACUUAUCAGAGUAUAAUCAGUGCCAAUCUCAAUUGCAAGAACUUUAUGCAGAAGGACACAAGGGAUGUGAUAUGGAAUUUUCGGCUUACAAUCUACUUUCUGUAAUUCUACACUCUAAUAAUAAUAGGGACCUCUUGUCAGCCAUGUCAAGGUUGUCAGUUGAUGCCAGAAUAGACGGGGCUGUAAAGCAUGCUCUUGCAGUGCGCCAAGCUGUCACUUUUGAAAAUUAUGUAUUGUUCUUCAGGCUGUAUAAGAAGGCUCCUAAUUUGAACACAUUCCUCAUGGAUCUGUAUGUAGAAAAAAUGCGUUAUACCGCAGUUAAAUGUAUUUCCCGUUCAUAUCGUCCUACGCUUCCUGUUGCAUAUAUUGCUCAGCUUCUAGGCUUUAGUAGUGUUGUGCUCCCGACUGAACCAAGUGAUGAGAAGGACACUGAUGGACUAGAGGAGUGUGCGGAAUGGUUGAAGGCCCACGGUGCAUGUCUUAUUAUAGAUAAUGCUGGCAAGGUGCUACUUGACUCAAAGGCUUCAACAACUAGUCUCUUUAUGCCAAAACCAGAAGUUGAUGUUGCUCACGGAGAUGCCACUCUUUCUGUUAAUGAUUUUUUGACUAGGGCUCCCUCAUAAACAAAGUGAUUAUGUUUUAAACAAUUGAAAAUCUCCGGAAGAAUGUGGGUCAUGCUGGUCUAACCGUAGCAACAUCUGAACAGAAGAAGUUUUCAGCAUCAAGUUGUUAUUAUCAGGGCUCUUAAAUUGUAAGAAUCUUGGGAACUUUUAUUCUUUUAAAAGAUGACAGUAUAAGUAUAGUAAGAGGACAUGCAUGUUUGUACAAGGAGCAUAGUGAGGCAAGGUUACGAUUGGAGGAGAAACAAGUGCUCCUAAAGCCAGAGUUUGAUGAAUUAAAGGCUUGAGCAGAUACGUGGGUCAAAAUCGAGCUGGCGAUGGCCAAGGAUGGCACCACUAAAACUUUUAAAGAGCAUGUUCCAGCAUAAAUUAUGCCAAUAUUGGAGACCGGAGUUGAUGGAUGAAUCUUUGCAGAGCAUUCCAGUGAGCUUAAGGAAGUUUGUACAUAUGUGACCCCCUCAAACUCCCAGCCUCAGGCUAAAUGUUCCAAGAAACAUUCAUUCCUUACAUUAUCCUCACAAAGUUUAUGCGAAUAAUUGCACCGACAUGUCAAGGUCCGAACUUCAUAAGAAGCUUUAAACAAUAUUGAGGUUGGUUAGCAUCAUGUUAAGUCUUUCCCCGGUGAGUUUAGACAGUGAAUUGAGGGAACAUUUUUCUCUUAUUCCUGAGAUUUCCACUGUAGGAAUAAUUUAUGUAUUCAGUCCUCAGCUUCUGUGAACACCAGGGUAGUAACCAAGCUGAGCCGAAUCGAAUACUUUCAAGCUCUGAGAUCGAGUUUGACUAAAUAUGUUGAUCGUAGGGGAUGAAGGCUGCCGAAAAUGGAAGGCAGGAGUUUGAGGGGGGAUUGAUUGUAGCAGAGUGGUCGAGUCAGUUGUAGUACGACUUUUCAUUUCGAGUGGCGGAGGUUUUGAGUAUUGAUGGCGGGUUGAAAGAGGUCGGGGUUUGGUGCGGAUGUAGUUAGUGUAUAGAUGACGAUGGCGGAGGUUUUGAGUAUUGAUGGCGGGUUGAAAGAGGUUGGGAUUCGGUGCGAAUGUAGUUAGUGUAUAGAUGACGGUUAAAAGAGGUGGACUUGGGGAGGACAGUGGCAAGGUCGCUGAAUUGGGGUUGCAAAGUGCAAGGCAAGGGAGAGGUAGAGGCGGCGAAGGUGACGGAGGAGGUGGUGACAGAGGUAGAGGUAGAGAAAUUUCCGAUAUUCGAGCUGGGUUUUUCGUAUGUAGGAUAGAUAAUGUAGUAAAAUAAGGCUAAAUAUAUAUCAACAGUGGUGAGUGAAGUACUAUUUCUUUUAUCUCUCAAUUCUUUAUAUUGAAAAUAGAGGAUUCUGACACAUUUUAAUAUUUAUAUAAAAUAUAAUUUUAUAAUA